rnacentral:tRNA from 1 species
GAGGGUAUUGCUCAGUGGUAGAGCGUGCGCUCGGCGUGCACAAGGUCCUGAGUUCAAUCCUCAGUACCUCCA